GCUUUGGGAUGUACGGUCACUGGGAAGCGUUUACGGAUAGACGACUGUUCGCUCAGGAUGGACUUCAUCUAAGCAAGGAGGGAAAUAGAAUUCUAGGAUGGAGGCUCGCCGACCUCAUCAAGAGAGCUUUAAACUAGGAAGUUGGGGGAGAUGGUUGGGAGAUGUUCGGGAGAUCUCCACGCCGGAAUAUAACCUGGAGAGGAAAGUAAACAAAGUGAGAGGGGAUACCCUUGCGGUCCCAAGAUUUGAUCCAAGGAGGAAUAGUGGAGUAGAAACCAGAGUAACGGGUGAUGCUGGUGGUAAAAGGUCUCUGCACGACGGGGGAAAGAAUGUCACUGACGCCAAACGCCGAAAAUUAAAAGGUCUGUACACUAAUGCGAGGAGUCUAGGUAACAAGAUGGAGGAACUGGAGUUACUGGUGCAGGAAGUGAAACCGGAUAUUAUAGGGAUAACUGAAACCUGGUGGAAUAGUACUCAUGACUGGAGCACGGGUAUUGAAGGCUAUGUGCUGUUUAGAAAAGACAGGAAGAAAGGCAAAGGUGGUGGAGUAGCCUUGUACAUCAAUGAUGAAAUUAACUGUAGCGAAAUAAGAAGCGAUGGAAUGGAUAAGACAGAGUCUGUCUGGGCGAAAAUCACAUUGGGUAAAAAAGCAACUAGAGCUUCCCCUGAGAUAGUGCUUGGCGUGUGCUACAGACCGCCGGGAUCUGAUUGGGAUAUGGAUAGAGACCUCUUUAAUGUCUUUAAUGAAGUAAACACAAAGGGGAAAUGUGUGAUUAUGGGGGACUUCAACUUCCCGGAUAUAGACUGGAGGACGAGUACUUGCAAGAAUAAUAGGGGUCAGAUUUUUCUGGAUGUGAUAGCGGAUGGAUUUCUUCAUCAAGUAGUUGAAGUACCUACGAGAGGAGAUGCCAUUUUAGAUUUGGUGUUGGUGAGCAGUGAGGACCUCGUAGAAGAAAUGGUGGUAGGGGACAACCUUGGUUCGAGUGAUCAUGAGCUGAUUCAGUUCAAACUAGAUGGAAGGAUAAACAAAUGUAGAUCUGGGAUUAGGGUUUUUGACUUCUCGAGGGCUAAUUUUAAAGAGUUAAGGAAAUUAGUUAGGGAAGUGGAUUGGACGGAGGAAUUAGUGGAUUUAAAUGUGGAGGAGGCCUGGAAUUACUUUAAGUCGCAGCUGCGGAGACUGUCGGAAG
rnacentral:lncRNA from 1 species